CCCAGCAUGAGUUAUGUCAUGUUAUCGAUAUGUGAAUACAUAGCAUAUCAGAAGGCACACCCGGAGAACUGAAACAUCUUAGUACCCGGAGGAAGAGAAAGAAAAUUCGAUUCCCUUAGUAGCGGCGAGCGAAACGGGAAGAGCCCAAACCAACAAGCUUGCUUGUUGGGGUUGUAGGACACUCUAUACGGAGUUACAAAGGACGACAUUAGACGAAUCAUCUGGAAAGAUGAAUCAAAGAAGGUAAUAAUCCUGUAGUCGAAAAUGUUGUCUCUCUUGAGUGGAUCCUGAGUACG
rnacentral:rRNA from 1 species